CAGACCCCGACCCGGCCCGACCCACUCGGCGGGACCCGACCCGGACCCGGCCCGACCCGCUCGACGGGACCGACCCGGACCCCGACCCGCACCCCGCCUGGCCCGCUCGCUUGUGUUUUACAGAGGAGCAAACUGAAAGCCAGAGAGGGGAAGGGACCCGUCCAGCGUUCAGCAAGUUCACAGCAGAACUGGAAGGAGAAUCCAGGGCUUCUAUCCCCCAGGUCCAGCUCUUGGUUCUGGGCUUUUUGAUUCGGUUUUGUUUCCCUGCAGCAGGAGACUUCCUGCCCACUCACCCCAUUUUCAGUGAGGAGCUCAGCAGCCUCUCUACCUAUCACCAGGUCAGGACCACCCAUCACGAUGCCCAGCUGGGCACCCUCCUCUCCCCUCCCAGCAGCUGGAGCACCCCCCACCCCAGGAGCUGAGAACCUAACCUAUGGCAGCAUCUCCUUGGCCCAGAAAUUGCUGGAAUUUCCUAUGUGUCCUCUCUAGAUCUUGUCUGCCCCUUGGCACCCUGUACCUUCAUCCCCAGGGCUGAGUCUGUGCCCUGCCCUACAGGCUGGAACCCAGCACUAGGUGACACCUGGGGCCUGCUGCGCCCGCCCGGCCACCACGUCCACCAGAGCCUUGGAUGCGGCACUGGCCCGCACGCACCCAGCCUGAGCUCACCGCACCCCUCUGGGGCUCUCCCCAGCCAGGCCCAGCCCCAAACACCUCCCAGAGGGCCGGGAGUUCCACCUGGAGAAGGACGCUUCCACAGUCUUCUUGCCCGGGAGAGGCAGCCCGAGGCCCCACGCAGGCUGCUGAGGCGAGUGGAGAGUGAAGCGAAGCUCCCAGAGGAGAACGGCUGCCUCCGAACCUCCAGGAAACCCUCUGACCGUUGCCAUCUGCUCCUGAGGCCUGCCGAGACCCGAACCAGCCCAGCCCUUUCCUUCCUAGCCAACUCGGAGAACAUCAAAGUGCUGGAGGCAAGAAGAAAGUCCCCAGGCCACCCACUGGGGGCAGAGUGGGGCAGACUGGGGCCGCUCAGCAGUCCCAGCAGGCUCGUGCUCCUGACACCCCUGCCCUGAGCACAGUCUCAUCUUAAAUAACUGUCCUCACUAGCCCCCUGCUUUACCUCCCUGGCUGCUCCCUCUCUUUUGACUCCUGUCCACCCUGCAGCUCAUGGGCACCCCGACCAGUGCUGCUCCUGGGAAAGUGAUCUGAAUCCUGAGUCGCAGCGGCUUCGGACCACUUCAGCUGGCCCCAGCCCCUGAUACCCCGUGCCAGGCACUGUGCCAAGUGCUCUGCAGUCUCAGGCUCGGCUGGAGAACACGCCUCCCGUCUUACAGGGGAGGACACAGGCCGGCCCCCAGGCACAAUGCUUCUAAGUGGCCCAGCCUGAAUUUAAACCCAGAUGUGUGUGAAUCCAGAGCCCCAAGCCUUCCCAGCAGGCCGCGGGGGCUAGCCCGCCCACACAGCUGUUCUUCCCCAUGAAUGAAAUCAGACACGGAGCCUCACUCCCACAGCCACGCAGGAUGGAGGAGAGCUGGGCCCUGCAGGCCGUGUGUCCUGGGCGUUCUAACUGGGGGUCUGGCUUCCUUCAGGGCCGCUAAGACUCACCUGUCAUUGGCAGCGCGAAUGGAAAUCAGCAUUUUGCAGCAAUAAAAGGCCGCUCCUGGUUAGACAUCAAACGAA